AACGAACGCUGGCGGCGUGGAUAAGACAUGCAAGUGGGACGCUAAUCAAUGGGUAGCAAUAUUCGUUGGUUGGAGUCGCGUAAGGGUGCGUAACACGUGGGUAAUUUGCCGCGAAGCUCGGAAUAACUUGCCGAAAGGUAAGCUAAUACCGAAUGUGACUCGUGCUGGGCAUCCAGUAUCAGUCAAAGCCGGGGAUCGUAAGACCUGGCACUUCGCGAUAAGCCCGCGGCCUAUCAGCUAGUUGGUGAGGUAAUGGCUCACCAAGGCUUAGACGGGUAGCUGGUCUUAGAGGACGACCAGCCACACUGGAACUGAGACACGGUCCAGACACCUACGGGUGGCAGCAGUCGAGAAUUUUUCACAAUGGGCGAAAGCCUGAUGGAGCGACGCCGCGUGGGGGGAUGGAAUGGCUUCGGCCCGUAAACCCCUGUCAUUCGGGAUCAAAUCUGAUAACCUAACACGUUGUUAGUUGAUAGUACUGAAAGAGGAAGGGACGGCU
rnacentral:rRNA from 1 species